GCAUAACGCGAAGAACCUUACCAGGUCUUGACAUCCUCUGACACUCCUAGAGAUAGGACGUUCCCCUUCGGGGGACAGAGUGACAGGUGGUGCAUGGUUGUCGUCAGCUCGUGUCGUGAGAUGUUGGGUUAAGUCCCGCAACGAGCGCAACCCUUGAUCUUAGUUGCCAGCAUUCAGUUGGGCACUCUAAGGUGACUGCCGGUGACAAACCGGAGGAAGGUGGGGAUGACGUCAAAUCAUCAUGCCCCUUAUGACCUGGGCUACACACGUGCUACAAUGGAUGGUACAAAGGGUCGCAAAACCGCGAGGUCGAGCCAAUCCCAUAAAACCAUUCUCAGUUCGGAUUGUAGGCUGCAACUCGCCUACAUGAAGCUGGAAUCGCUAGUAAUCGCGGAUCAGCAUGCCGCGGUGAAUACGUUCCCGGGUCUUGUACACACCG
rnacentral:rRNA from 1 species